rnacentral:lncRNA from 1 species
GUGAGCAUUUAAACCUAGCUAAUAAAAUUAGUUUGUGGGGAAUAAAAUUCAUCAUAAGGCUAGCAACAUGCUUUUGCAUUCAUGCUGAGACAUAUUUUAUUUUGUGCUUUCAAAAUUCUUUUUGGAAAGGCUUUGGAAAAAGAAACAGAAAAGAAAUAAAAAAAAAAAACAACAGCCGAACCCCUGCAGCCCCGCUAGCGCGGCCCACCUGCGGCCAGGCAGCCCAGCGCGCGCCUCCUUCCCCCUCCCUGGCUGACGCGCGUGCCCCACAUGUCAGCAGCGCCUUCGUUCUUCUCCUCAGCGUGGACGAGCCGGUUUCGGCCGGGAAAAUUUCCCAGGGCCGAACCGAAUCCGGGUAAGCACGAUUUCUUACCAAAUCGGCUAAACGGCGCCUAUAUAAGCCCCUAGGUCAACCCCGCGUCCUGCGUGUGCAUUUUAAUCGCGAAAACUUCGCGAAAUCGGACCUCGCCGGAGCAGCACGCUUUCCGCACGCCGCGAGCCGUCUUCGUCAUCUCUCGGACCCAACCA